UACGAAGGGGGCUAGCGUUGUUCGGAAUUACUGGGCGUAAAGCGCGCGUAGGCGGAUCGCUAAGUCAGGGGUGAAAUCCCAGGGCUCAACCCUGGAACUGCCUUUGAUACUGACGAUCUGGAGAUCGGGAGAGGUUGGUGGAAUUCCGAGUGUAGAGGUGAAAUUCGUAGAUAUUCGGAAGAACACCAGUGGCGAAGGCGGCUCACUGGCCCAUUACCGACGCUCAGGCGCGAUAGCGUGGGGAGCAAACAGG
rnacentral:rRNA from 1 species